rnacentral:ncRNA from 2 species
AUUGAAUAGUUUAAUCAAGGUGCUUACUCUUUUAGCUAAGAGGGAAAGAGGUUGAAAUCCUCUGCAGCCCCCGCUACUGUAUAUAGUGAUGAAAUCCAAGAAUCCACUGAGAAAUUGGGAAGGAUGGAAAGUAAAGUGAUCUAUGAGCCAGGAAACCUGCCUUGAUUUAGGAUGAAUC